ensembl:lncRNA novel transcript, antisense to ATRNL1
ACAGAAUGGGUUGCAAAACUUGCUUACUUGUGUGACAUAUUCAACCUGCUCAAGAAACUCAUUCUGUCACUUCAGGAGAGAAUAACAACUGCAUUCAAGUUGGCAGGUAAAGUGGCUGCAUUCAAUGCCAAACUGGAAUUAUGGGGGCGACAAGUAAACUCUCGAAUUUCUGACAUGUUUCAAACAUUAGAAGAGAUUUUUUUCUCCCAGCACCAUCUUUCUCCCAGCUGGUGCAUGAACAACUAUUACAGCUUACAAAAGAAUUUCAGCAUUACUUCCCAACUUCAAAAAGACCCCAAACUGGGAAGGAAUGGAUACGCGACCCAUUUGCGAGUAAGCCAGGUGAAUCGACUUUGUCCAUGCUAGAAGAGGAUCAACUGCAUGAGAUCGCAAAUGACAGUAGCCUUAAAAGUAUGUUUAAGACAACUUCAAAUCACUAUACAUUGUGAGUUAAAGUCAAGGCAGAAUAUCCUGAGAUUGCCACAAAAGCACCAAAAAGCCUGCUUCUAUUUCCAGCAUCCUGUCUUCGUGGAGCAGAGUUUUCUGCAGUGACAGCAACCAAAAUGAGAUUAUGGAGUAGACUGAACAUAGGCAAAACACUUUCGGUGUCACUGUCUCCCAUCACCCCCAGAAUGGGACCAUCUAGUUGCAGGAAAACAAGCCCAGGAUUCUCACUUAUUCUACAUUAUGAUGACAAUAAAAUAUGAGUGCAAAGAAGAACAAAUCCCUGAACAGAUGAUAUCGAAGUCAUACUGGUAAACAAAAUUACUCAUCUGAAAUUAAGACGAUAUCAGCAUUUACAAUGAAUGCAUAUAAAAUUUACUUUGAUACCAAGACUCCAAAUGUCUAACGACUACAUGCUCAACAUCUGCAGGAUCUGUACGGUUCCAGGCAAAAUGUUUUGUAAAGACUUAAGUACUCAAUGUUUUGAUUGUAUAUUUUACAGAAAAAAAUUAAAUUCAUGAAAAUUCAAAACUAUAUGAGAAGUCAAGAUAUAACUUGGUUGUAUAAUAUAAAAGAGCAUGCUAUCACCCAUACACUGUUAUUGAAGAAAAGGUAUGUUUAUCAUAUUUAGCUUUAAGACUCUUUUUUUUUUUUUUUUUUGAGACACAGUCUCGCUCUGUCGCCCAGGCUGGAAUGCAGUGGUGCGAUCUCGGCUCACUGAAAGCUCCGCCUCCCAGGUUCACACCAUUCUCCUGCCUCAGCCUCCCGAGUAGCUGGGACUACAGGCGCCCGCCACCAUGCCUGGCUAAUUUUUUUGUAUUUUUAGUAGAGACAGGGUUUCACCGUGUUAGCCAAGAUGGUCUUGAUCUCCUGACCUCGUGAUCUGCCCGCCUCGGCCUCCCAAAGUGCUGGGAUUACAGGCGUGAGCCACCAUGUGAUUAUAUUCUACUAUAUAUUUGUUCUCCCUUGCAUACAUACUUGGAUACGUUGUAGGAUAAAUAAAUUCCAUAAUAAAUUGCUGAUUCAAGGAUAUUUAUAAUAUUUCUGGUGAAAAAUUCUCUGGUUACCAAUUUCUACAUUCUGAAGAAAAGAAAAAAAUAAUAUAUAGACUUCCUCUCUAGCCAUUCCUGUGAAAGCAUCUCUCAUUACUUCACCCUCAGUCUUCUAGAUAUAAAAAUGUAUAUAAAGUAUCAGGCAUAUAAUAGAUUCUCAAUGAAUAUUACUUUUCUUAUUUUAGAGGAGAUAGUGGUAUAGCCACUUAACUCUUAAGCCACAAUUUCCUCAUGUGUCAAUGGGAAAUAUACCCACUUGACAGAAUUGAAGGUAAUUAAAUGACAUAAUGUAUGCAUAGCUUUCAGUACAGUCUCUGCAAUAGGGACUACAAAAACUUAGCUCCCAUAAUCCUCUUCAAAUUACAAGUGAUAUACCUUAGAGCACUGAAAGGCAGUUCACAACUCCCUGCAGUCUCACCACAUCUGUUGCUACCAGUAAAGCUACACUAGUACUUGUUUACUUAAUCACUUGCCAAAAAACAAUUGUCAAUUUCAUAAUUAAUUUUCAACCAAACUUAUAGGUUUAGAUCACGUUUUGUGGCAUAUUAUUAAGAUUUUAUGUCACUUAAGAAGGGAUCCUGCCUACUAAUUUGAAAUUUAACACGGUAGCCUGCUUCUGGUAUACAAGACAUUAAUAAAAAUAAACAAAAAAAACCUCUUUUACAUUAAAUUACAAGAAUCAUUAAAAGAAGGAAUUUUUAAAAAAUACUUACGAAUAGAAAAUGUUGAAACCAGUUAGAUUAUACGCAGCAUCACUAAAAAAAUGUAACAGUGCAUAGCCAGAUGUAGUAACAACUUCAGGCACAGUUUCAUUGCCCCUUAUUUCAGGGACUAUCAAACCACUAAAAGAGAACAAAACUGAAUAUUGUAUGUAUAGAUAUACAUAAGACUGUUAAGCACAUAAAAUUUACUCAGAAAUAUUCUUACCAGGAUCAGUAAUGCUUGUACGUCAGAAUGGGCAACUAAAAGGAGAAUACAUCUAAAAGAAGUCCCUAUCCAUUUCUCACUAAAUUAGUUCUACUACUGCUGCCAAUACACUAAAAUCUACUCUCAUGCCACUGUACCCCAUUUUUUUUCUUAUCACUAUUUGUAAGGCAAUGUCUCAUUUCUCCUUUUUGUCCUGCUAUCCAUCCUGUCAUAAUACUACAGGGUAGUCUUCCACUUAAUUCAUAUAAAACUUCACUUAAAGUCACCUUGCUACUCUAAUAAAACCCUGUACCUUUACUCAUUCUGAUUGGUUUAAAAAUCCGAUGAAGCUGGAAGACACUCUACAUCAGUUAAGCAAUUACAAUUACAUUCUAGUUAUAGCUGUACAUUUCCAAUACAUUUAUCUAGGUGAUUUAAAAUAUUUACUUCAAAAAAUUUAAAACUAUAUAGACUUUAAUGUUUUUCUAAUUUUGCAUAUCUAUGCAAAUUGCAUUAAUAUAUAACUAUUCCAAGACAGAAUAUUGCUCACAUAAGCCCAUAAGCACACAAACAAAAACUUGGGGUGGGGGAGAUAUAAAUGUACAAAAUAGUUUUAAACUGGUAACUUGUACUUCUUUUUAAGGAUACUUGUUCAUGAGGAAAAUUACCUAUCUUCAUUUAGUUAUAUGUUCUAACCUCUCUAAAUCUAUGAAAACAUGCAAUUGGUGAAAGAAAAGAAGCUGCUAACAAACAAAUUAUAUAACUCGACACGGUCAAUUCCUUUAAACAGUUAAAAUUAUGUUUAGGUACCACUAAGAACUGAAUUCCCCCAUUCAAAUCAUAUUUGACACAUAAAUGAAAUAUUAUAGUCAAAUAAUUGAUUUAGAAAAUACAUUCUCAAAUGCAAACAAGUUAAAAAGUAAUCAACUCUUGAUUUAACGCUUUAGUAAUUAUUAUUACAUCUACUAGGUUAUGUUUGUGAAGCAACAAAUGAUUUUAAAAUGAGACUCUCAAAACAAUACAAACCCUAUGACACCAGUCUUAAGUUAUACAUACAUAUUGUUCAUUGUAAUAAAAUUAUAUAAAGGUGAGUAUUACUAAAAAUAGGUCUUUAUAAUAGAUACAGCUAGUCUCUGAGCGCUCUCUGAAAAAGAUAAAAAGAAUAGGUCUGGGCCAGGCGCAGUGGCUCAUGCCUGUAAUCCCAGUACUUUGGAAGGUGGAGGCAGGCGGAUAACGAGGUCAAGAGAUCAGGAACAUCCUGGCCAACACAGUGAAACCCCAUUUCUACUAAAAAUACAAAAAAAUCAGGUGGGCACGGUGGUGCAUGCCUGUAGUCUCAGCUACUCGGGAGGCUGAGGCAGGAGAAUCGCUUGAACCUGGGAGGUGGAGGUUGCAGUGAGCCGAGAUCACACCACUGCACUCCAGCCUGGUGACAGAGCGAGACUCCGUCUCAAAAAAACAAACAAACAAAAAAGAAUAGAUCUGUUUGGUUUUUUGUUUACAAGUAUUUUAAAAACAAUAAAUAAAAGAGAGUUUCCACUUCCUGUAUAAUACACCAGGAAAUUCGGACCAACUGAAAUCUAGUAAAAUGACAAAUUAUAUAAAAACAAAAAAAUCAGCUUGAAGGCCUGCCCAGGCAUUGAGGUCAUUUACCCUAUUGGCAUUUGCUGAUUUCAAGGCUGGAGGUAAGAUUUGAAGGGCUAAAAAAAACUCGGUGGUAAUUUCAGGGAUUUUACAGAAUGAAGGAAAGAAAAAGUGAAACACAAGGCCUUCACGUUGAACUGGGACUCCAAUGGUUGGAAGUGAAAGCAAACUACCUAAAGUUAGGCCCUCCAAAGGACUGCACUGCAGCUGAGCUAUGAAUCACCUCAGUAUCUGAGUUUGGAUUGAGUUGAAUAUGGAUUGCGAGUGUCCCCAGGUAGUCUCUGCAAGAAUAUAAUCUUUCUAGGCCUCAAAUUAUUACUAUAUAUGAUUUUCCAAACAACAACGUCCAACACACAAUUGUCCAGCACACAGUAAAAAAAAAAAAAAAUAACACUUCUCCAUUCCAAUGCAUUCUCCACAUUCUAAAAACUCUUGCCUACAGAAUAAAAGCCCAACUUCUUUAGUGUGGUGUACAAGCAAGCAAUAUUACAGUGAUUAAGGGAUUAGGACCUAUAAUUACAUAACCUUGAUUCAUAUUCUGACUUACCAGCUAGGCAACCUUCGGGCCACUCACAGAAAAUCUCUGUGUCUCAAUUCUGCAUUUGUAAAAUUACAAUAUUAAUACCUACCUAAAGGUUAUUUUGAGGAUUAAAUAAACUAAUGCAUAUAAAGAACUCCUGUACAUUGGCACAAAAUGAGCACUAAGUAAAUGUCACUGAUUGCUGUUUUGGGGUAAUGUGACUCCUACGUAUCCUUCACAGUUCCUACAAUCAAGUUACUCAAAACUUUCAACUAUUGCCCUAAAAUAUAAUGCUCUUUAAUGUGUCUAUACCUUUGUAUAUAUGCUUUUCUCUCCCUAGAAUGUCCUAUCUGACCCCCAUACUUCAUACUUUUACUCACGAUGAAAGUCAACAUGAAGGAUUAGUUAUUUAUUUUGAAAUUAUAUAGAACUCCUUCAUAACCUGAUUGUAACACUAACUAGGCUGUGUGAAAAAUCUGUUUACAUACCCCCACUAAUGCAUGACUACUGCAUACUAAAGAAUUUGGCUGGCUUUUGUCCCCAGUUCUUGGGACAUAACCUCUAAAUUCUUGAAAUUUCCUGAGUGAUGGGAGUGUCUUCCUAUUCAUGGUGAGCCCUGAAAAUUUAUGCCAAUGAGGUGACUCAUGGUGGGCCCCUAAUUAAUUUAAGCUAAAGAUAUAAUUCAGAAUAGGGGAUGGCCACUCCAGAAACACUAACCAUGUGAUUAAAAUGUUGGGGCCAUAUGGUAUUAGCCUAACUUCCCGAGAGAGAAGGGGAUGGGAGGGGCUGGAGAUUUGAGUUCAGCCUCAUGGCCAAUGAUUCAAUCACUCAUGGCUACAUAAUGAAACUUCAAUAAAACUCUGGACACCUGAAGCUCAGAUGAGCUUCCCUGUUGGUGAUACAUGUUGAUGUGCUGGGUGGGUAACACAUUCUGAGGACCCAGAAGCUUUGCAUUUAUGAUCCUCCCAGACCUCACUCUAUGCAUCCCUUUAUUUGGCUGGCUCUGAUUUCUAUCCUUCAUGAUAAAACUAUAGUCAUAAGUGUAGAACUUUCCUGAGUUCUAUGAUAAUUCUAGUGAAUUAUCAAACUUUUAGGACAGAGUAGGAACCCCUAAAUAUGUAGCCAGAUGGUCAGAGUAGGUGGGGAGCACCAAGCUUGCAGCUAGUGUCUGAAAUGACAGCAGUGUUAUAGAGCAGCAAUCCCCAACCUUUUUGGAACCAGAGACCAGUUUCAUGGAAGACAAAAUUUCCACAGACCGGGGGAGGAUGAUUUUGGGAUGAUUCAAGCAUAUUACAUUUAUUAUGCACUUUAUUUCUAUUAUUAUUACAUUGUAAUAUGUAAUCAAAUAAUUAUACAACCCGCCAUAAUGUAGAAUCAGUGGAAGCCCUGAACUUGAUUUCCUGCAACUAGAUGGUCCCAUCUGGGGCUGAUGGGAGACAGUGACAGACCAUCAGGCAUUAGAACCUCAUAAGGAAUGAGCAACCUAGAUCCCUCACAUGCACAGUUCACAGUAGGGUCUGUACUCCUAUGACAAUCUAAUGCCGCUGCUGAUCUGACAGAAGGUGGAGCUCAGGCAGUAAUGCAAGCAGUGGGGAGCAGCUGUAAAUAAAGAUGAAGCUUUGCUCACUUGCCCGCCACUCACUUCCUACUGUGUAGCCCUGUUGCUAACAGGCCAUGGACUGGUACGGGGAUCUGGGGUGGAGAGGAGACCCUUGUUGUAGAGGACUGUGCUCUUAACCUAGGAAAUCUGUUCUAGCCCAACUGCAGGUAGUUGGUGUCUAAAGCCACUGCGAUAGCCUAUGCCUUCUUCCUUACUAUGUACUCUAAGCCUGUGACACAGUCUCUGUAAUUAAAUGUUGAGUAAUAAAUAUUUAUACAAUUGA